CUGGGGAUUAGCCCCGGCCAGAUGUCCCAUCACAGAAGUUAGGAGUUGAAGUAGAUGACAUAUGUGUUUGGAGAAGUGAUAUGUCUCAUUCUUUUCAGCUCUAGCUUGUGGUAAGUUUCUGAAAGCAAGUAAGAGAAGAGGAAGGGGCAUUUGUGAUCUGUCAUGUAUAGAAGACUACCACAUAGGCAGGUGGUCACACCUGAAAGCAUGUCCCCUGAACCCCGUUACCUAAUGUCAUAAGCUGAAUGUCCAAAGCUCCUCUCCCAGCUCUGAUUGGCCUGGCUACUAUGAUGAGUGAAGUCCACCAGAGAAGACACUGUGGCCUCGUUUCUCAUCCUGCUGUCCCCAGGAGUAACACAGAAGCGACUAGUAACACAACAGCAUUGUCCUCACACACACAGGCCUGCUUUGUUUCCCCACCACACAGAGCAGUGGCUGUAACAAUGCCCUUGAAAGACACGUUACCCUCCUUUCUCCAACGUUGCACUUGUUUUUUAGUUCUGGAAUCAGCUAAACGAUGAUUUCCUGCAGGGGGUAUCAGUCUCUCAUAUUUUCUGCCUGCUUCUCUGACAGCCUUCAGGCCCCAGGUCAGUGAGUAGCAAGCCAGGCCUAGAGAGCUCUGGACCCACGGGAACAUCCCCUUCUUGGAAGGUGGGAAAGGCCAUGAUGUUUCACCUCUCUCCAGCAAGCUGGGACCUGCCCUGGAAGAAGAAACCAGACCAGACAUGAUUCAGCCAUCAGCCCUCAGUGACAGUCAACCUCCAGGGACACAGCAUCUUGGAGGCCACUCCUGGAGGGUGGAUAGCGGGCAAUUGGGACUUGGUGUGCACCUAUCGCUGUCUUCAAAAUUCCUUCUCUACUCCACCAACUGCUCUCCUCAUCCAGCCUUCUUCGUGGGCUGGAGGUGGUCAGGCUGGAGAGAGAUCCCUCACCCCUUCCACUGUGAGGACAUAGCAGGAAGGCAUCAUCUACAAGCCAGAAAGUGGGCCCUCAAUAGACACCGAAUCUGCCCGUGCAUUGAUCUAGGACUUCCCAGCCUCCAGAACGAUCUGCCUAUUAUUAGUGGGAUGGUGACCUCCCUAAGUGUCGAGUUCUCAGGAAGGAGGAUCAAACUGGGUAGCUAUGUGCCAACUAUCAGUUGCUAACAGCAUUUAAUAAACACGAUUUUCUCUAACCA
rnacentral:lncRNA from 13 species